rnacentral:rRNA from 1 species
UCUGAUUUGCUUAUUGCACCACAUGUGUUUUUCUUUGAAACAAACUUGCUUUGGCGGUGGGCCCAGCCUGCCGCCAGAGGUCUAAACUUACAACCAAUUUUUUAUCAACUUGUCACACCAGAUUAUUACUUAAUAGUCAAAACUUUCAACAACGGAUCUCUUGGUUCUCGCAUCGAUGAAGAACGCAGCGAAAUGCGAUACGUAAUAUGAAUUGCAGAUAUUCGUGAAUCAUCGAAUCUUUGAACGCACAUUGCGCCCUCUGGUAUUCCGGAGGGCAUGCCUGUUUGAGCGUCGUUUCUCCCUCAAACCGCUGGGUUUGGUGUUGAGCAAUACGACUUGGGUUUGCUUGAAAGACGGUAGUGGUAAGGCGGGAUCGCUUUGACAAUGGCUUAGGUCUAACCAAAAACAUUGCUUGCGGCGGUAACGUCUACCACGUAUAUCUUCAAACUUUGACCUCAAAUCAGGUAGGACUACCCGCUGAACUUAAGCAUAUCAAAAGCCGGAGGAA